UAGCCAUAGGAUAUAUGAUAUAUGAGAUAGCACAAGGACAUAUCGGCAAGCCUUAGGUUGGUGUUUACGUGUGUAGGUGUGAAUCACUAUGGUGAUCUGGUCGGAGAUAGAAAAAUAUAAAAUAUUUAUUACAUAACCACACUUAAUCUGAUGAUUUCCUAUGCAUUCAAUACCAAGAUCAAUACAUCUUAUUGUAAUAAGCAUAUUGGCCAUACUCUUCAUAUACAUGAAAAUCAUAUCAAUCGUGUAUCACAUAGCACAUUUAAGAGGACUGAUCCUAUAAAGAUUUAUUGAAUAUUAAGCUCUAGGAUAAAAAAAACCUGCUUAGACAGAACAUGGGUAUUUUCGAAUACUUUAUUUAGAAAAUCUUGUCAGGACAAUGAUAUAAGAUUACAGAAAAAUAUCUGACGUAGGACAAAUGUAUAAAGUAUUCAGGAUACCCUUCGGGAACAAUUUAGAAUGAUGCAGCGUAAACUACAGUAAAGUCUGAACAUUAAAGCAUAAAGAAACAAAAUCCACAACUUAUUCUGCCAAAUACAAAUAGUACACAUCUUAUUUUACUAAGCGUGUUGACCGUACUCUUCAUACACACAAAAAUCGGCACCCAAGGCCUGAAAUGCCGACUCUAGUAUACCUAUUCUAUGUAAUAAAUAUUUUUUAAGUAUA